rnacentral:rRNA from 1 species
UGGGGAAUUUUGGACAAUGGGCGAAAGCCUGAUCCAGCAAUGCCGCGUGUGUGAAGAAGGCCUUCGGGUUGUAAAGCACUUUUGUCCGGAAAGAAAUCCUUGGCUCUAAUACAGUCGGGGGAUGACGGUACCGGAAGAAUAAGCACCGGCUAACUACGUGCCAGCAGCCGCGGUAAUACGUAGGGUGCAAGCGUUAAUCGGAAUUACUGGGCGUAAAGCGUGCGCAGGCGGUUUGCUAAGACCGAUGUGAAAUCCCCGGGCUCAACCUGGGAACUGCAUUGGUGACUGGCAGGCUAGAGUAUGGCAGAGGGGGGUAGAAUUCCACGUGUAGCAGUGAAAUGCGUAGAGAUGUGGAGAAAUACCGAUGGCGAAGGCAGCCCCCUGGGCCAAUACUGACGCUCAUGCACGAAAGCGUGGGGAGCAAACAGGAUUAGAUACCCUGGUAGUCCACGCCCUAAACGAUGUCAACUAGUUGUUGGGGAUUCAUUUCCUUAGUAACGUAGCUAACGCGUGAAGUUGACCGCCUGGGGAGUACGGUCGCAAGAUU